UUUCCGUAGGUGAACCUGCGGAAGGAUCAUUACAGUAGUCACCCAGGUUGCCGCAAGGCCUCCUGGGUAACCUACCACCCUUUGUUUAUUACACUUUGUUGCUUUGGCAAGCCUGCCCUCGGGCUGCUGGCUCCGGCCGGCGAGCGCUUGCCAGAGGACCUAAACUCUGUUUGUCUAUACUGUCUGAGUACUAUAUAAUAGUUAAAACUUUCAACAAUGGAUCUCUUGGUUCUG
rnacentral:misc_RNA from 1 species